UCUAUAACAGUGUAAUGGUUAACAUAUCGCGCUUUCGCCGCGAAGUUCGGAGUUCGAUUCUCCGUUGUGGGG
rnacentral:tRNA from 1 species